rnacentral:rRNA from 1 species
CAAGCUUAGCUUAGGUGGAUCUGUGGCGAACGGGUGAGUAACACGUGAGCAACCUGCCCUGGACUCUGGGAUAAGCGCUGGAAACGGCGUCUAAUACUGGAUAUGAGCUCCUUCCGCAUGGUGGGGGUUGGAAAGAUUUUUCGGUCUGGGAUGGGCUCGCGGCCUAUCAGCUUGUUGGUGAGGUAAUGGCUCACCAAGGCGUCGACGGGUAGCCGGCCUGAGAGGGUGACCGGCCACACUGGGACUGAGACACGGCCCAGACUCCUACGGGAGGCAGCAGUGGGGAAUAUUGCACAAUGGGCGGAAGCCUGAUGCAGCAACGCCGCGUGAGGGAUGACGGCCUUCGGGUUGUAAACCUCUUUUAGCAGGGAAGAAGCGAAAGUGACGGUACCUGCAGAAAAAGCGCCGGCUAACUACGUGCCAGCAGCCGCGGUAAUACGUAGGGCGCAAGCGUUAUCCGGAAUUAUUGGGCGUAAAGAGCUCGUAGGCGGUUUGUCGCGUCUGCUGUGAAAUCCCGAGGCUCAACCUCGGGCCUGCAGUGGGUACGGGCAGACUAGAGUGCGGUAGGGGAGAUUGGAAUUCCUGGUGUAGCGGUGGAAUGCGCAGAUAUCAGGAGGAACACCGAUGGCGAAGGCAGAUCUCUGGGCCGUAACUGACGCUGAGGAGCGAAAGGGUGGGGAGCAAACAGGCUUAGAUACCCUGGUAGUCCACCCCGUAAACGUUGGGAACUAGUUGUGGGGACCAUUCCACGGUUUCCGUGACGCAGCUAACGCAUUAAGUUCCCCGCCUGGGGAGUACGGCCGCAAGGCUAAAACUCAAAGGAAUUGACGGGGACCCGCACAAGCGGCGGAGCAUGCGGAUUAAUUCGAUGCAACGCGAAGAACCUUACCAAGGCUUGACAUAUACGAGAACGGGCCAGAAAUGGUCAACUCUUUGGACACUCGUAAACAGGUGGUGCAUGGUUGUCGUCAGCUCGUGUCGUGAGAUGUUGGGUUAAGUCCCGCAACGAGCGCAACCCUCGUUCUAUGUUGCCAGCACGUAAUGGUGGGAACUCAUGGGAUACUGCCGGGGUCAACUCGGAGGAAGGUGGGGAUGACGUCAAAUCAUCAUGCCCCUUAUGUCUUGGGCUUCACGCAUGCUACAAUGGCCGGUACAAAGGGCUGCAAUACCGUAAGGUGGAGCGAAUCCCAAAAAGCCGGUCCCAGUUCGGAUUGAGGUCUGCAACUCGACCUCAUGAAGUCGGAGUCGCUAGUAAUCGCAGAUCAGCAACGCUGCGGUGAAUACGUUCCCGGGUCUUGUACACACCCCAUCAAGUCACGAAAGUCGGUAACACCUGAAGCCGGGACCCAACCCUUGGGAGGAGCCGUUAUAGGUGAUA